rnacentral:rRNA from 1 species
GACGAACGCUGGCGGCGUGCUUAACACAUGCAAGUCGAACGGAAAGGCCCUGCUUGCAGGGUACUCGAGUGGCGAACGGGUGAGUAACACGUGGGUGAUCUGCCCUGCACUUCGGGAUAAGCCUGGGAAACUGGGUCUAAUACCGGAUAGGAGCCAUUUUUAGUGUGAUGGUUGGAAAGUUUUUUCGGUGUAGGAUGAGCUCGCGGCCUAUCAGCUUGUUGGUGGGGUAAUGGCCUACCAAGGCGGCGACGGGUAGCCGGCCUGAGAGGGUGGACGGCCACAUUGGGACUGAGAUACGGCCCAGACUCCUACGGGAGGCAGAAGUGGGGAAUAUUGCACAAUGGGCGCAAGCCUGAUGCAGCGACGCCGCGUGGGGGAUGACGGCCUUCGGGUUGGAAACUCCUUUCGCUAGGGACGAAGCUUUUUGUGACGGUACCUAGAGAAGAAGCACCGGCUAACUACGUG